GNUUNCUGUCGUCCCCACGCUUUCGUCCCUCAGCGUCAGUUAAAUCUUAGNGACCUGCCUUCGCAAUUGGUGUUCUAAGUAAUAUCUAUGCAUUUCACCGCUACACUACUUAUUCCAGCCACUUCAAAUUUACUCAAGACCUGCAGUAUCAAUGGCAGUUUCACAGUUAAGCUGUGAGAUUUCACCACUGACUUACAGAUCCGCCUACGGACCCUUUAAACCCAAUAAAUCCGGAUAACGCUUGCACCCUCCGUAUUACCGCGGCUGCUGGCACGGAGUUAGCCGGUGCUUAUUCGUACAGUACCUUCAGCUUCCCACACGUGGAAAGGUUUAUCCCUGUACAAAAGAAGUUUACAACCCAUAGGGCCGUNGUCCUUCACGCGGGAUGGCUGGAUCAGGCUCUCACCCAUUGUCCAAUAUUCCUCACUGCUGCCUCCCGUAGGAGUCUGGUCCGUGUCUCAGUACCAGUGUGGGGGAUCACCCUCUCAGGCCCCCUAAAGAUCAUUGACUUGGUGAGCCGUUACCUCACCAACUAUCUAAUCUUGCGCGUGCCCAUCUCUAUCCGCCGGAGCUUUCAAUGUCGAAUGAUGCCAUUCAACAUAUUAUGGGGUAUUAAUCUUCCUUUCGAAAGGCUAUCCCCCAGAUAAAGGCAGGUUGCACACGUGUUCCGCACCCGUGCGCCGCUCUCAAUUGCCCGAAAGCAAUCUACCGCUCGGCUUGAUGUGUUAGGCCUCCGCUAGCGUCAUNCUGACCAGGAU
rnacentral:rRNA from 1 species